rnacentral:rRNA from 1 species
AUUGAACGCUGGCGGCAGGCUUAACACAUGCAAGUCGAACGAGCGGCGGACGGGUGAGUAAUGUCUGGGAAACUGCCUGAUGGAGGGGGAUAACUACUGGAAACGGUAGCUAAUACCGCAUCACAUCGGAUGUGCCCAGAUGGGAUUAGCUAGUAGGUGGGGUAACGGCUCACCUAGGCGAAGGUCCCUAGCUGGUCUGAGAGGAUGACCAGCCACACUGGAACUGAGGCACGGUCCAGACUCCUACGGGAGUCAGCAGUGGGGAAGAUUGCACAAUGGGCGCAAGCCUGAUGCAGCCAUGCCGCGUGUAUGAAGAAGGCCUUCGGGUUGUAAAGUACUUUCAGCGGGGAGGCGUUACCCGCAGAAGAAGCACCGGCUAACUCCGUGCCAGCAGCCGCGGUAAUUC